GAGAGAGAGAGAGAGGCAGAGAAAGAGGAAGAAAGAUUCCCAAGCAGGCCCCACACUGUCAGCACAGAGCCCAAUGCGGGGGGGGGGGUUGAACUCACGAAGCUGGAGAUCAUGAACUGAGCAGAAGUUAAGAGUCAGAUGCUUAACUGAUUCAUCAACUGAGCCACCCAGGUAAGAUCUGUUAACCUUAUCCACAUUCCCCGAUACACUGAAAAGCCGAGAAGUGGGUGCUAGUAUGGUUUCCUGACUACUAGCUGGGAGCUUAACAUACCACACUUCCACUCAAUUCAAUUCAAUAAAUAGUUAUUGGACUCCUGUUAUGUGCAAAAUAUUAUGCUGGUCUUACAGAAAAUUCUAGAUGACUAAGAGUUCCUGCCCUUGGAGAGGAAGCUGUAGGACAAAUUUACAGAGAACUAUAGGAGAAGGCAACAUCCAGUUAGUGACCUAGGAAGGAUAGGCCAUACAGUGGAGUGGGUGAGCACCAGGGCUCUCAAGGUCGGGUUCAUCUCUCCUACACUCUGGAUGUGACCUAGGACAAGUCACUUAACUGAUCUGUGCCUGAUUCCUCAUCUGUCAGAUGAACAGCAGCCCCUGCCUCAUAGGAGAGGUAGUAAGAUCAGGGAGUUUACUUAAGCUAAGAAGAAGUUAAAAUUAGCUGUCAACUGCUGUCCCACAGUGAGCUAACACAGUCUCGAGGCCUGACUGACCACAGUCAUCUCUGGGGGUGUACGUUUGUCUGAGAAACACAUCACAGAGGUAAUCGUGAUUCUCCCUCCGCAGUCAUCAUUCAGUUCUUUGUACACAUGUCUCAAGAGGAAAAUCCCUAUCAGGGGCUGUGUAGGGGCUUACAUUUACUU